AGUGAACGCUGGCGGUAGGCCUAACACAUGCAAGUCGAACGGCAGCACAGUAAGAGCUUGCUCUUACGGGUGGCGAGUGGCGGACGGGUGAGGAAUACAUCGUAAUCUACUUUUUCGUGGGGGAUAACGUAGGGAAACUUACGCUAAUACCGCAUACGACCUACGGGUGAAAGCAGGGGAUCUUCGGACCUUGCGCGAUUGAAUGAGCCGAUGUCGGAUUAGCUAGUUGGCGGGGUAAAGGCCCACCAAGGCGACGAUCCGUAGCUGGUCUGAGAGGAUGAUCAGGCACACUGGAACUGAGACACGGUCCAGACUCCUACGGGAGGCAGCAGUGGGGAAUAUUGGACAAUGGGCGCAAGCCUGAUCCAGCCAUACCGCGUGAGUGAAGAAGGCCUUCGGGUUGUAAAGCCCUUUUGUUGGGAAAGAAAAGCAGCAGGUUAAUACCCCGCUGUUCUGACGGUACCCAAAGAAUAAGCACCGGCUAACUUCGUG
rnacentral:rRNA from 1 species